rnacentral:ncRNA from 1 species
UAAAUAGCAUAUGAACAAGCAGUAAAUUUCUUUACGUAGCCGGGUCUACAAGUGUGUAGACAGCAGAAUGAUUGAGCAUCUAAAGCUGAGCAUAUCUGUGAGACAGUA